rnacentral:misc_RNA from 1 species
GAUGAAGAACGCAGCGAAAUGCGAUACGUAAUGUGAAUUGCAGAAUUCAGUGAAUCAUCGAGUCUUUGAACGCACAUUGCGCCCCCUGGUAUUCCGAGGGGCAUGCCUGUUCGAGCGUCAUUAUAACCCCUCAAGCUCAGCUUGGUGUUGGGGCCUGCUGCACUGGCAGCCCUUAAAAUCAGUGGCGGCGCCAUCUGGCUCUAAGCGUAGUAAUUCUUCUCGCUAUGGAGUCCUGGUGGAUGCUUGCCAUCAACCCCCAAUUUUUCUAUGGUUGACCUCGGAUCAGGUAGGGAUACCCGCUGAACUUAAGCAUAUCAAUAAGCGGAGGA